UACGUAGGCAGCAAGCGUUGUUCGGAGUUACUGGGCGUAAAGGGUGUGUAGGCGGUUCUUUUAAGUUUGGUGUGAAAUCUCCCGGCUCAACCGGGAGGGUGCGCCGAAUACUGAGGGACUAGAGUGCGGGAGAGGAAAGUGGAAUUCCUGGUGUAGCGGUGAAAUGCGUAGAUAUCAGGAGGAACACCGGUGGUGUAGACGGCUUUCUGGACCGUAACUGACGCUGAGACACGAAAGCCGUGGGUAGCAAACAGG
rnacentral:rRNA from 1 species